GCUUGUCUCAAAGAUUAAGCCAUGCAUGUCUAAGUAUAAACAACUUUAUACUGUGAAACUGCGUACAGCUCAUUAUAUCAGUUAUAAUUUAUUUGAUGGUGAUUUACUACAUGGAUAACCGUGGUAAUUCUAGAGCUAAUACAUGCGUAAGAUCCUGACUAACGAAGGGACGUAUUUAUUAGAUUGAAACCAAUGCGGGUUCGCCCGGUAUUUGGUGAUUCAUAAUAACUUUCGGAUCGACUUCGGUCGAUGCAUCAUUCAAGUUUCUGCCCUAUCAGCUUUGGAUGGUAGGGUAUUGGCCUACCAUGGCUUUAACGGGUAACGGAGAAUUAGGGUUCGAUUCCGGAGAGGGAGCCUGAGAAAUGGCUACCACAUCCAAGGAAGGCAGCAGG
rnacentral:rRNA from 1 species